AUACGGAGGGUGCAAGCGUUACUCGGAAUCACUGGGCGUAAAGCGCGCGCAGGCGGUCUUUUAAGUUGGAUGUGAAAGCCUAUGGCUCAACCAUAGAACUGCAUCCAAAACUAUUUAGCUAGAGUGUGGGAGAGGAAGAUGGAAUUAGUUGUGUAGGGGUAAAAUCCGUAGAGAUAACUAGGAAUACCAAAAGCGAAGGCAAUCUUCUGGAACACUACUGACGCUGAGGCGCGAAAGCGUGGGGAGCAAACAGGAUUAGAUACCCUAGUAGUCC
rnacentral:rRNA from 1 species